UACGUCCAUAUCACGUUGAAACACCGGAUUUCGUACGAUCAUUGAAAUUAAGCAACAUCGAGCCUGGUCAGUGCCGAGAUGAGUGACCGCAUGGUAGUACCAAUUGCUGCAAG